GGGCCAUAACUCUGCUGUUCAGAUGACAAAUGCAAUGAGAUUUCACAAUGAUGUGUCGUAUAAUGGCUGUAGAAGAUUUUGUACCAAGUUUUAUGAAAAUCAAUCCAGGUCAGAGUCUUUAUCAGAGAGAAAGAAGCAAUUACCCAUCGAAACCUGUAUCAGUGGUACUGGAAACAACUGGAUCUAGUGACAAUAUUCAAGCUCGGUGAAGGAUGGGGCUACAUGUAGAUAUGGGAGCAGAUUUCACAUUAUACAGUAAGGCUAUGAGUAGUCUCCCCUGUUAAAGAUCAACAAUGGUGGAUAUACAAUGCGGGAUGCUGUGUAGUACAUACUACGUACAUCAUUAACAGAGUUUUGACACCUGUAUACCUGUAUUUCUACCAAUCACCUCUGUAACCUUUGUUGUAAUCGUCAGACAGGUUCCCCUACAGAUUCACAAAGUUCCAAUAUUGAAUUUCCAUGACCCCUAUUCAUCCAUGACAGAAAAAGGAAUAAAGUUGACAGGACUUUCAUCACUGCCCUUUAACUGGUAGCAGUUUACGUUUAGACAGCAGAAGACAUAGCCAGUUUCAUCAAAGAUGCACCAGAUGCCUUGGCACUAUCUCCAUCACUGGUGAAAUGGUAAAUGACUAGUAGACCGUCAUCACUUAAUAUUUUUAACUCACCAAUGCAUAAUUUGAGGCCAAUCUCUUCUCAUCUCCGAUGGUGGUCUCCAGAGGAAUGGUUGCAGUGCAGUCUUCGUGUCCUGAGCCUUUCCUUCUCAGGUCUGUUGCACAUGGGUGGCUGAAGCUGGUUCAAUAUUUCCACCAAGAAGCAUACCACGCAUACCCUCUGUAGUAAUGCUGGUACCCAAGUGACCGAUAGCCAUGGCCACAUUUAGCUGUGCAGCUCUUCAUCCCCUUCCAGAUCUCCUCACCUCUUCGUAAAGCUUUUCUCAUUGACUGGUGUAGUGGCACUUCUUACAUCGGAUAAAAGGAUCCAUGCCAGGCCUCGUUUUUCCUCCUAAUGUUGGUUCCAGUCCAGUGAACCGUCACAGUCUGGAAACUUCUUUAAUUGUUCUUUAAAUGCCUGAUUCCACAAUUUAGCAGUCUUCUCUUGGUGAAGGACUUUGUAUAGUUUUGAGUUUGGGUCAUCUGACACAGCUUCCAUGUAGGAGUCUACAGGCUGGAUUUCACUUAGCCCGGGUCACAAAAUCUUCAUCUCACUGCUUCGGCUCUCGGCAGAGUCUGACAUUUAUAUAUAUUUAUACAGACAUAUAGAGACAUUUUCAUUUUCUCGUUUUGGGCAUCUUAUUUUAGGCCUACAGUAUUAAUUUUGGACUCAUGUACUAGGAAUAUAUCUUUAGCAGAAUUGUCUUUUUUAGGUCACCUGAGUCACUCAGGUGACCUAUUGCAAUCUGUUUUUGUUCGUCUUUGUGCGUUAACAUUUGAACAUUUUUAGCUUCUUCUCUGAAACCACUUAACCAAUUUCAACCAAAUUUGGCAUAUAGCAAAUAUGGGUGAAGGGGAAAAAAUAUGAAUUUCAUGGUCCCUGCCCCCCUGGGGCCUGAGGGGUGGGGCUAAAACCACCAAAAUUAAUGCAAUCUUUAAAAAUCUUCUUCUUUACUCCUGGACAUCAAGCAGUCAAACUGUUGGCAUGAUUGUAAUAAGCAUUGAGCCUCUACCAAAAUUGUGAAAUUCAUGGCCCCAGGAUCAGGGGUGCUGGUGUUAGGGUGGGUAUAUAUAGAUCAAAUAGUGAAAGUGCCUUAUUUCUUUGAGAAUCUUCUUCUCUGCUCCUGGGUAUUAAAUAAACUAACUAAGUACAUAGUUAUGAAGAGCAAGAGUGCCUCUUCCAAAAUUGUGAAUUUCAUGGUCCCAGGGUCAUGGGUGCUGGUGUUAGGGCGGGCCUCUAUUGAUUAUAUAGUGAAAAUGCAUUAUUUCUUUGAAAAUCUUCUUCUCUACUCCCUGGAUACUAAAUAAACUAUAAGUACAUAGUUAUGAUGAGCAAGAGUGCCUCUUCCAGAAUUGUGAAUUUCAUGGCCCCAGGGUCAGGGGUUCUGGUGUUAGGGCAGGGCUCUAUUCAUUGUAUAGUAAAAUUGCAUUAAUUCUUGAAAAUCUGAAAAGUACUUUCAUAGUUUUAAUGAUCAGGUAGACUUGGAAAUAAUAAAUGAAUAAAAAUGAGACAAAAAUAACAUCUCUUUUUAUAUCUUCUUCAAAGGCUAAGAGAGGCCAGUGUGAGAGUUAAUAAUAUGGGGUUAAAAAAUAGACAUUUUGUUAAUAGUCUGCAUGGUAAUAGUGAUAAAUGGGGGACAGACAGAUACUAGACCAAUUAUUUUGUUGAUGCUAAUCAUACUAUUUUUCUUGCUUUUGGGCAACAAGGCUUCAUUUAUCAGUUUAUGGAUCCUCUAAAUUGUUGUAUUGUACUCAGAUGACCGUUAAGACUGUUGGGCCUCUUGUUUAGGUGUACAUGAUGCAACUUUCUGGAUGAUGUGUAGUCUGUCAACAUCUGAAACCCACAUGUAUAGAUAAGCCUGUUUUUGUAUAAGAAUCAUGUCUAUUGUAUUGCUCAGCUUUUUGCAGGUUUUAUAUGAAUAAGUUAAAAUUUUAUUCUAUAUGUAUAGAUUUAAACUAAAGGUGCAUAGACACAGAUUUGAAGUUUAUAUUUUCUCAAAUUUUCUGUAUAAUAUCACAACUUAUAUGUUGCUAUAGCAUU